rnacentral:lncRNA from 1 species
AUGAGGCUCACCUUGUCCAUCCUCCCCUCCCCCUCUCCUUCCUCUAUGGGCUGGAUGAGGAGAAUGAGUCGAUUCUCAGCGGCCCAGACAGUGCCCCGUCGAUGCCCUCAGCAAGGAGCUCUUUGGAAACCCCAGAAUGACUCGGAGCCGGAGGCCCCGUUUCCUCUCCUGACCGCAUCCUGCAGCUCGCAGCAGGGGGCAGGUGCAGGAGGGGCAGUGCCCGUCUGCCUCUGUCUCUGUGGGCCACAACCCGCUCGACGGGGCGCAGGCUGGCUGCAGGCAGCCCUAGAGAUAGAGGUGCCCUCCAAAAUAGCACUUGACCUACAUGGGGCCUUUUCCUCACUUUGCCAGGUAGGUGGUUAUUAACCAGCUCAGGUACCUAGUUUAGGAGAGACAUAAAAAGUAUGUUUUGGAGCCAGACAGCCUCAGUUUCUUCAUAUAUAAAAUGGGGGUGUAGAUCAGAUGCCUUUUAGAGCGCUUGGGUGGCUCAGUUGGUUGAACGUCUGACUUCAGCUCAGGUCAUGAUCUCACAGAUUGUGGGUUCGAGCCCCACAUCGAGCUUUGCCCUGACAGCGUGGAGCCUUCUUCGGACCCUCUGUCUCCCUCUCUCUGCCCCUCACCCUCUCUCUCUCUCUUUCUCUCUCUGGGGCUCAUUAAACAUUUUUUUUUAAGUAAUAAACAUUUUUUUAAAGAUGCUUUUUAGCA